GGAUUCACACCAGGUACUGUAAUGCCGCCUGGAUUCACACCAGGUACUGUAAUGACACCUGGAUUCACACCAGGUACUGUAAUGACACCUGGAUUCACACCAGGUACUGUAAUGACACCUGGAUUCACACCAGGUACUGUAAUGACC